rnacentral:rRNA from 1 species
GUAGUACGAAUGAAAAGCCUUUGAAAAGAGAGUUAAACAGCACGUGAAAUUGUUGAAAGGGAAGCGUUUGCGACCAGACUCGCCCGCGGGGUUCAGCCGGCAUUCGUGCCGGUGUACUUCCCCGUGGGCGGGCCAGCGUCGGUUUGGGCGGCCGGUCAAAGGCCCUCGGAAUGUAUCACCUCUCGGGGUGUCUUAUAGCCGAGGGUGCAAUGCGGCCUGCCUGGACCGAGGAACGCGCUUCGGCUCGGACGCUGGCGUAAUGGUCGUAAAUGACCCGUCUUGAAACACGGACCAAGACUCGGGUCAUUUACGACAUUACCCCCGCCUCGACC